rnacentral:lncRNA from 1 species
ACGACCAAGGAUGGCUGUGCAUCCCGACGCCUCUCUUCUCCGUUGAUCCCCCAUAUCCUCUACGUGAAUCUUCUCCAGAAGGUAUCCCUCUCCUCUCCGACGAGUACUCGCUUCCUUACAGGCACGUAGUAUGGGCUGACUGUCAGGGUCCUGACACGGGCUCUCCUUGUCUUGAUCUGAUCUUGAUGCUACUCGGUCUAUCUAUAAUGUUUGUUUCCUGUGUUUACAUGGCAGAGUGAUUGCUGCACUGGCUUUUGGCUACCGAUGCAAGUUGGGAACUCAUUCAGUGAUUUGAGGGUGCAGGCAGAGAUGAUGCUGCGGAUGGGAUGGGAAGAUGUGUGUGUGCUAGCUGCCAUUGCAUGGACUUUAUUUUUCGGAUAGUUCAGCGUCUUAUUACAAAUCUGAUAGUGCUAUCUGCCACACAUACACCAUGCUACGAAUCUAUUUACAUACGACUCAGAGAAAGAAUUGCUUUGCAGGU